rnacentral:rRNA from 1 species
AAGCACCGGCUAACUCCGUGCCAGCAGCCGCGGUAAUACGGAGGGUGCGAGCGUUAAUCGGAAUUACUGGGCGUAAAGGGUGCGUAGGUGGUUGGAUAAGUUAUCUGUGAAAUCCCCGGGCUCAACCUGGGAAGGUCAGAUAAGACUGUUUGACUCGAGUAUAGGAGAGGGUAGUGGAAUUUCCGGUGUAGCGGUGAAAUGCGUAGAGAUCGGAAGGAACACCAGUGGCGAAGGCGGCUACCUGGCCUGAUACUGACACUGAAGCACGAAAGCGUGGGGAGCAAACAGGAUUAGAUACCCUGGUAGUCCACGCCGUAAACGAUGUCAACUA